rnacentral:ncRNA from 4 species
ACAGCCAAGGGAACGGGCUUGGCA